rnacentral:rRNA from 1 species
ACUCAAAUGAAUUGACGGGGACUUGCACAAGCAGUGGAUUAUGUGGUUUAAUUCGAUGAUAAACGAAGAACCUUACCAAGGUUUGAAACCUAGCUGAAUGCAGGCAGAAACGUUUGCAGUCCCACAAGGACAGUUAGGCAGGUGAUGCAUGGCCGUCGUCAGUUCGUAGUUUGAACCGUUCCCUUAAGUGGGGUAACGAACGCAACCCUCGUUGUCUGUUAUACGUAUCAGGCGAGACUGCCCUCGAUUGUGUUCAGAAAAUUAAAAAUUUCUGAAUAGAAUCGAGGGAGGAAGGCGAGGAUGACGCCAGGUCAGCAUGUCCCUUUGAUACCUUGGGCUACACACAUAAUACAAUGGCAACUACAACGGGUCGCGACGAGGAAACUCUGAGCCAAUCCUAAUAAAAGUUGCCCCAGUUCAGAUUGGGGGCUGAAACUCGACCCCAUGAAGUUGGAAUUGCUAGUAAUCGCGGGUCAGCUAUACCGCGGUGAAUACGUUCUCAAGUCUUGUACACACCGCCCGU